GGAAUAUUGGUCAAUGGAGGCAACUCUGAACCAGCCAUGCCGCGUGCAGGAAGACUGCCCUAUGGGUUGUAAACUGCUUUUAUCUGGGAAUAAACCUCAUUACGUGUAAUGAGCUGAACGUACCAGAAGAAUAAGGAUCGGCUAACUCCGUGCCAGCAGCCGCGGUAAUACGGAGGAUCCAAGCGUUAUCCGGAUUUAUUGGGUUUAAAGGGUGCGUAGGCGGCCAAUUAAGUCAGAGGUGAAAGACGGUAGCUCAACUAUCGCAGUGCCUUUGAUACUGAUUGGCUUGAAUGAACUAGAGGUAGGCGGAAUGAGACAAGUAACGGUGAAAUGCAUAGAUAUGUCUCAGAACACCGAUUGCGAAGGCAGCUUACUAUGGUUCUACUGACGCUGAGAGACGAAAGCUAGGGGAGCGAAUGGGAUUAGAUACCCCAG
rnacentral:rRNA from 1 species